rnacentral:rRNA from 1 species
AAUUUUGGACAAUGGGGGAAACCCUGAUCCAGCCAUCCCACGUGUAUGAUGAAGGCCUUCGGGUUGUAAAGUACUUUUGGCAGAGAGGAAAAGGUAUCACCUAAUACGAGAUACUGCUGACGGUACCUUCAGAAUAAGCACCGGCAAACUACGUGCCAUCAGCCGCGGUAAUACGGAGGGUGCAAGCGUUACCCGGAAUUAUGUGGCGUAAAGCGUGUGUAGGCGGUUCUGAAAGCAAGAUGUGAACUCCCCGGGCUCAACCUUGGAACUGCAUUUUUAACUGCCGAGCUAGAGUAUGUCAGAGGGGGGUAGAAUUCCACGUGUAGCAGUGAAAUGCGUAGAUAUGUAGAGGAAUACCGAUGGCGAAGGCAGCCCCUGGGAUAAUACUGACGCUCAGGUACGAAAGCGUGGGGAGCAAACA